rnacentral:tRNA from 1 species
GCAUUGGUGGUGUAACGGUUAGCAUGGUUGCCUUCCAAGCAGUCGAUCCGGGUUCAACUCCCGGGCCAAUGCA